GCCCGGCCCGGCCCGAUAAAAAUUAAUGCUUCAUAAAUUUUUUUAAUAAAUUAAUAAAUAUUGAAAACUAAGGAUUUAUGAAUAUAAAGCCACCUUAAUGGUGGGGGGUUUGGCAUAGACCCCUACCAGUUUAUUAAUUUAAAUCAAAAUGGUACAUAAAGGGAGGUUUGGACCUUGGUCUGACCUCCAGAAUACAAUAAGAAAGGGGCCAAAGGGCCGAGGUUUGGACCUUGGUCUGACCUCCAGAAUACAAUAAAAAUAUACAAUUAUAAAAAAUUAAGAAAUCUUACUAAUCAUCUGUGAUUCAGUGAAUCAGUAUUCACUCUUCAGUCUUCAGUAGUGUUUGUA
rnacentral:lncRNA from 1 species